AAAUUCCUUAAAUUCGAGAUUUAGGAAGAAUUAAAGGUUAUUAGUAGGUAUUUGUGGUCAAAGAAAUAUAUAUCAAAUGAUUAGUGUCGGAAAAAAGAAAAGAAAAGAAUAGAAAAGAAAAUGGGGGAAACUUUGAAAAUGGGUUUAUGAAAUAGAUACUUAUUCUUUGAUUUAUUGGGAUUAUAUGAUGUUAAGCACUUAAAUUAAGGAUUUGGGGUUGAUUUCUCCAUUUUUAAGUUAUUGAAGAAUGAUAUUAGAUUUUAGGGUUCAUGGAAAUUCCUUAAAUUCGAGAUUUAGGAAGAAUUAAAGGUUAUUAGUAGGUAUUUGUGGUCAAAGAAAUAUAUAUCAAAUGAUUAGUGUCGGAAAAAAGAAAAGAAAAGAAUGGAAAAGAAAAUGGGGGAAACUUUGAAAAUGGGUUUAUGAAAUAUAUACUUAUUCUUUGAUUUAUUGGGAUUAUAUGAUGUUAAGCACUUAAAUUAAGGAUUUGGGGUUGAUUUCUCCAUUUUUAAGUAAUUAAUAUAAGCUACUUUGGACAAAAUCCUCUUCAGGCGCUGUUUUUGAAAAUUGUCCAGAAUAGCGCUAUUUCUGUCAAAGGUUUUGAUAUGGGAAUUGGUACCUGAUUUUAAUAUUAUGGGAUUUUAGUGCUGUUUUUGUCAAAGUUCUUAUUUUCAGAUUUUUAAAGGUUUGAAUGAAAUUAUAUGCCAAAUAUUGAAGUUUAUGUAUUUGACUAAAUUCGAUAUAGGGGUUGUAUACGAAUAAGGUAGUGAUGUUAAGGAAGUGCAAGUGAUUUAAUGGAUUUGUUAAUAAAUGGUGAUUAGUUGGUAAAUUGUUAGAGAGAAGAAAAUUUGGGGAAUUCAUUCAAGUAUCAAGAAAUGGAAAUUCAAGAUAAAAUUUGAAAGUUGAGGAAUUAAGUGGUGACUUUGCAUUAAUUUAAUUGUUAUAUUUUAAUUUGAGUUAUUAUACUGCUAUUUCAGGUAAUGACAUGGAAGUUUGGAGAUGCCGGUUAAUUUAGCUAGAUUUUUAUCCAUAGAGUAGUG
rnacentral:lncRNA from 1 species